rnacentral:rRNA from 1 species
GAUGAACGCUGGCGGCGUGCCUAAUACAUGCAAGUCGAGCGAACAGACGAGGAGCUUGCUCCUCUGACGUUAGCGGCGGACGGGUGAGUAACACGUGGAUAACCUACCUAUAAGACUGGGAUAACUUCGGGAAACCGGAGCUAAUACCGGAUAAUAUAUUGAACCGCAUGGUUCAAUAGUGAAAGACGGUUUUGCUGUCACUUAUAGAUGGAUCCGCGCCGCAUUAGCUAGUUGGUAAGGUAACGGCUUACCAAGGCGACGAUGCGUAGCCGACCUGAGAGGGUGAUCGGCCACACUGGAACUGAGACACGGUCCAGACUCCUACGGGAGGCAGCAGUAGGGAAUCUUCCGCAAAGGGCGAAAGCCUGACGGAGCAACGCCGCGUGAGUGAUAAAGGUCUUCGGAUCGUAAAACUCUGUUAUUAGGGAAGAACAAAUGUGUAAGUAACUAUGCACGUCUUGACGGUACCUAAUCAGAAAGCCACGGCUAACUACGUG